rnacentral:rRNA from 1 species
CCUACGGGUGGCUGCAGUGGGGAAUAUUGGACAAUGGGCGAAAGCCUGAUCCAGCCAUGCCGCGUGUGUGAAGAAGGCCUUCGGGUUGUAAAGCACUUUCAGUGGGGAAGAAAGCCUUGGGGCUAAUACCCUCGAGGAAGGACAUCACCCACAGAAGAAGCACCGGCUAACUCCGUGCCAGCAGCCGCGGUAAUACGGAGGGUGCGAGCGUUAAUCGGAAUUACUGGGCGUAAAGCGCGCGUAGGCGGUCUGAUAAGCCGGUUGUGAAAGCCCCGGGCUCAACCUGGGAACGGCAUCCGGAACUGUCAGGAUAGAGUGCAGGAGAGGAAGGUAGAAUUCCCGGUGUAGCGGUGAAAUGCGUAGAGAUCGGGAGGAAUACCAGUGGCGAAGGCGGCCUUCUGGACUGACACUGACGCUGAGGUGCGAAAGCGUGGGUAGCAAACAGGAUUACAUACCCGAGUAGUC